AGAGUUUGAUCCUGGCUCAGAUUGAACGCUGGCGGCAUGCCUUACACAUGCAAGUCGAACGGCAGCACGGGAGCAAUCCUGGUGGCGAGUGGCGAACGGGUGAGUAAUACAUCGGAACAUGUCCAGUAGUGGGGGAUAGCCCGGCGAAAGCCGGAUUAAUACCGCAUACGAUCCAUGGAUGAAAGCGGGGGACCUUCGGGCCUCGCGCUAUUGGGGUGGCCGAUGGCAGAUUAGGUAGUUGGUGGGGUAAAGGCCUACCAAGCCGACGAUCUGUAGCUGGUCUGAGAGGACGACCAGCCACACUGGGACUGAGACACGGCCCAGACUCCUACGGGAGGCAGCAGUGGGGAAUUUUGGACAAUGGGCGCAAGCCUGAUCCAGCAAUGCCGCGUGUGUGAAGAAGGCCUUCGGGUUGUAAAGUACUUUUGUCCGGAAAGAAAUCCUGAUGGCUAAUAUCCGUCGGGGAUGACGGUACCGGAAGAAUAAGCACCGGCUAACUACGUGCCAGCAGCCGCGGUAAUACGUAGGGUGCGAGCGUUAAUCGGAAUUACUGGGCGUAAAGCGUGCGCAGGCGGUGAUGUAAGACCGAUGUGAAAUCCCCGGGCUUAACCUGGGAACUGCAUUGGUGACUGCAUCGCUGGAGUAUGGCAGAGGGGGGUAGAAUUCCACGUAGCAGUGAAAUGCGUAGAGAUGUGGAGGAAUACCGAUGGCGAAGGCAGCCCCCUGGGCCAAUACUGACGCUCAUGCACGAAAGCGUGGGGAGCAAACAGGAUUAGAUACCCCGGUAGUCC
rnacentral:rRNA from 1 species